rnacentral:rRNA from 1 species
CCUACGGGGGGCAGCAGUGAGGAAUAUUGGUCAAUGGACGAGAGUCUGAACCAGCCAAGUAGCGUGAAGGAUGACUGCCCUACGGGUUGUAAACUUCUUUUAUAAGGGAAUAAAACGUUCCACGUGUGGGAUUUUGUAUGUACUAUAUGAAUAAGGAUCGGCUAACUCCGUGCCAGCAGCCGCGGUAAUACGGAGGAUCCGAGCGUUAUCCGGAUUUAUUGGGUUUAAAGGGAGCGUAGGUGGAUUGUUAAGUCAGUUGUGAAAGUUUGCGGCUCAACCGUAAAAUUGCAGUUGAUACUGGCAGUCUUGAGUACAGUAGAGGUGGGCGGAAUUCGUGGUGUAGCGGUGAAAUGCUUAGAUAUCACGAAGAACUCCGAUUGCGAAGGCAGUUCACUGGACUGCAACUGACACUGAGGCUCGAAAGUGUGGGUAUCAAACAGGAUUAGAUACCCGUGUAGUC